rnacentral:rRNA from 1 species
ACAUGCUUACAACAUAGCAUUAAUGCAUCAUAUCCCAUUAGAACUCUGCAGUUCAUCAUGCUCAGGCUAGAGUAGUAUUGGGAUGGGUGACCGCUUGGGAAGUCCUAGUGUUUUACUUGCC